rnacentral:miRNA from 1 species
GACGUCCAUCGAUGAAGAGCGA